AGCAUAUAUACAUACAGUCAGCAAGAAAGAAAGAAAGAAGCAAAGACAGCUUGAAAUAGAAAAAAUGACUUC
rnacentral:ribozyme from 1 species